rnacentral:rRNA from 1 species
CAAUAGCGUAUAUUAAAGUUGUUGCAGUUAAAAAGCUCGUAGUUGGAUUUCGGGGCAGCCUGGCUGGUCCGCCGCAAGGCGAGUACUGGUCAGCCGCCCUUCCUCUCGAAAGCCCCGACUGCUCUUUAUUGCAGUGGUCGGGUAGUUCGGGACGUUUACUUUGAAAAAAUUAGAGUGUUCCAGGCAGGCCUACGCCUGAAUACAUUAGCAUGGAAUAAUGGAAGAGGACCUCGGUCCUAUUUUGUUGGUUUCCAGGACCGAAGUAAUGAUUAAGAGGGACAGUUGGGGGCAUUCGUAUUUAAUUGUCAGAGGUGAAAUUCUCGGAUUUAUGAAAGACGAACAACUGCGAAAGCAUUUGCCAAGGAUGUUUUCAUUAA